CAGCAAAUUUCCAGUUUGAGAAUUUACGAACUCUGAAAUACAAACAGAUUUGAUAUGACUUCUGUGUACAUAGAAGACCAAAAGUUCUUGAGGAAGAUGAGAUGUAAAAUGGAUGUCCAUCCAGGAACUCAUACCCGGUUCAAAAGUCUGUGCUUACUCCAUGUUGAUAGCUCUGCAUGUUUUCUGUUUUACUCUUAGUUUUCCAAAUAAACUUUAUAACAACAAGAA